rnacentral:snoRNA from 1 species
AAUUUGUAGAUAAUUUGUACAUAGAUUGUAUUAUUUUUUUCUAACGAUUAAUGGAUAAUGGCGUAUGUGUCCUAAAUAUAGUAUAACACAAUCGCAUUCAUUCCAUAAACAAUCGAAAAUUU